rnacentral:rRNA from 1 species
UGGGGAAUAUUGCACAAUGGGCGCAAGCCUGAUGCAGCAACGCCGCGUGAGGGAUGACGGCCUUCGGGUUGUAAACCUCUUUUAGCAGGGAAGAAGCGAAAGUGACGGUACCUGCAGAAAAAGCACCGGCUAACUACGUGCCAGCAGCCGCGGUAAUACGUAGGGUGCAAGCGUUGUCCGGAAUUAUUGGGCGUAAAGAGCUCGUAGGCGGUCUGUCGCGUCUGCUGUGAAAUCCCCGAGGCUCAACCUCGGGCCUGCAGUGGGUACGGGCAGACUAGAGUGCGGUAGGGGAGAAUGGAACUCCUGGUGUAGCGGUGGAAUGCGCAGAUAUCAGGAAGAACACCGAUGGCGAAGGCAGUUCUCUGGGCCGUAACUGACGCUGAGGAGCGAAAGCGUGGGGAGCGAACAGGAUUAGAUACCCUGGUAGUCCACGCCGUAAACGUUGGGCGCUAGAUGUGGGGACCAUUCCACGGUUUCCGUGUCGCAGCUAACGCAUUAAGCACCCCGCCUGGGGAGUACGGCCGCAAGGCUAAAACUCAAAUGAA